rnacentral:misc_RNA from 1 species
AUAAAUUCAUUAACAAAAGAUGACAUGGUUUGUUUGCAUGUUUAUGGUAGUAUUUCUGUUGAUAAUCUCAAUCACCUUGCACAAAUAAAGAUCAAAUUAAUUCCGAAAAAUAAUAGCAAAAUUGCACCUAAGCGUACUACAUGAAAACAAGGAUUGAACUUUAUAUUUCAGAUGUAAGUAAGAAAAGCAAAACCAAAAUGGGAACAAGAUGAUUUUUACUGCACAUGGAAAUACAAGAUACUCGAUGCAGUACUCGGGAUAUACUCCUCGCAGCCAUUCUCUGGGAACCAAGAGCCGAUGAUGCCUUGAGACGAAUAGGAUGAAAUUCCUGCAUGCCACUUAUCAAUCAGCCUAAAACCAAACUGAGAUGCUGAUGCAAGUAUAGAUUGUUCAUCAGCACGCCGCAGAACAUGGCACAGGAUUAGCGCAGAUUGCUGGUUCUCUCCAUUACAGUUCGAUGACAUUAGUUCCUUUGCAGUUUCAAACAAUGGCAAAAUAGCUUCAGGGUCGUAAGUUACAUCUGUGCCUAUUAUGACUUCAAAACCUCCAGAAUUGAGUUCCUUAAUGGCUUGUAUAUGUUCUUGAUUUCCCCAUUCUAGCCUCUUCACAAUUAGUUUAGCAAGGGAUGGAGGUCUAAGGUUUGAAGCAACAUUCCUGGUCAACAGUUCAAGAGCUUUUGCAUCUCCAUCAGUGGCAACUACAAGGUUAGCGGAUCUAACAGCAACCAUGGAGCAAAUGCCUCCACAGCCACAUCCCAACUCUAACACCUUUUUCCCUUUAACAAUAGUUGGAUUUAAAGCUAGCAAAGAAGCCAUCAUAUGAGCUGAUUCCCAGAGCAUCAAGCCAGUUGAUUUACAUGUGUGCUGAUAUUCUCUGGACAGUACAUCAAUCUUGAAAUUCUGGUCUCUAAGUUUAAUCUCAAUGACCUCACUAUCAAGGGAAGGCAAAAUUCCGAACAUUUCAGCUGCCAAACCCUCAGAUAUGUCAACCUCAAUACUGUUCAAAGUUUUCUUUGAAGUAUUUUCCUUGACCUUAGGCUCAACAUUUUCUUGACCAAGGAGGUUUUCCUUGAUUGCAGCUUUUUUACUAAAACAAGAGAUUGACAUGUCCGAAAAUCGGAACACAGCUUGGAUCCAACGCCUAUUCAUCACUAAUUCACGUGACCGGUUCUCCACUUGCUUGCAACACAAACCAAGUUCUUCAACAUCAAAUCCAUUGUCUUUGAACAAGGUUGUCAAGAAGUCAUUUGAGAAAUAAAAAGCACGCUGAAGAAAAUGAGCCCAAAGACCAUAAAUUAGGCUGGCAAAUUAAAAAACCUAGAAUACUAAUGCCCUUCUUGGUCAUCCAGACCAGACAUUAGGAUUAUGAAUUGGAACUUCAUUCUCAUUCCUUGGUUUGUGAGGUAACCAGAAAUGAAAGGACACUGGAAUGAGAAAUCAAGCAAGAAAAAGCUUUACUUGAUUUCUAUAUCCACAUGGAGGCCAUAUAUGUGCAAGCAAGAGUGGAAUGAUAGAGCAUUCCUAUUACCUCAUUUAUGCUAAUCAAAUUAGACCCAAACAACAGUUGUGCACAUUUUGAAACUUACAGUGCCAUCACCCCUGACAUAGAAGUUUUCACUAAUCUUUUGAUCCUUGCAAGUGAAUCUUUCCUGUUGAUACAAUGGAAGGAGCUGGUUAUAGAAGGACUCAAGAAACAAAAGACAUAGAAAUGAGAAGAAAGACAGAGGAAGACAAUUGAAAUUUUAUCUAACAGGGGAUUAAGUGGCAUAGCUCACCCAAUUUCAUGCUAAGAACUUAAAUAUUCUCAUAUCAGGUUACACUCCUGAAACCUUAUUCCCCAUGAAAAGUUAAAAGACACUGAUUAAAUUGCUGUUGAGAUUGAUCUUAAAACAUCUAGAGCCAUGCCCAAUUUACAUAACUAAAGCAAGUGGCCAGAUAAACAACCACUCAUACGUAUACAUGUAAAUGAACCAUUGUUUUAGGGUAUAUAUGCACCAACAGUCCAACAUUCAGAGGGGGCGAAGAAAGGGGAGAAAAAAACUAACACAUAUUCAGGGUUACAGCUACACUCGGAUAGCAAGACAGUCAACAAAUGUCGAUGUAUAGAGAAUUUCAGUAUCAGUCUAUUUUAAGCAGAAACAAAGUCAAAAGUAAGCUGUCAUCAACCUGAGCAAGGUCACCUACAGCAUAGUCACGAAACAACACGUAACCAUUUGGCUGGAAAAAGAAGAAAGUUCGAAUUGCAUCAAUCAAACAAUUCAUCUUAUCAGAGUACAUAAAAUCUCUAAGACAAUUUACAAUUAUCACCAUAGUGAUUAUUUACCUUGAGAACUUUCUUAAUAUUUUGUAAGACUAGGGCCAUCUUCUCAGGGGAAACUGCAGAUAAGACAAAUAUCUGCUUAAAAGGUCAGAUAGUUAAAUAAAGUGAGGGAAAAAAUAAGCAGCAUUAGAGAGAGCAAAUUGCUACAGUUAUCAAUCAACUUAACUGAUGCAAACAUAAUCAUGUAAGACUUGCAACCUAUAACUUAAAAUCAAAUACCAUUGUCACUAUAUCAAUUGAAGCUGGUGAAAUCUCCUUGUUCAAGUCAUCAAUGGUCAGAUCACAUACAAAUGCACUAAAAUGGGUGUCUUUGUAGUCCUUAUGUGUCUUAACCAAGUUAACUGCACGUGGUGAGAAAUCACAUGCAUGAACAAAAGUAUCAGGGUAGGUUGCAACCAGAGGAAAUAUGGUGUUCCCAGCUCCACAGCCAACCUCUAGAAUGACUUUUCUCUCUCCUCCCUGAAAAUCUCAAUUCAGUAAAGUUAGAAAUUGACAAUGUUAGAAAAUUGAAGGGUGGGGGGAACCACCAGUAAAAAUCCUUCCUCUCUCUCUUUUUUGUUUCCAAUACUCACUGUGAAGUAUUGGCCCCAUUCCUUGUCCAAGUAAUGCCGAUCCUUGAAAAACUUACUCUGUCUUCAUGUCGCUUGUAAAAGAUAUCCCAAUACUUCUUAGCAUCCCUUUCAUACUUUUCUGCCAAAGAAAAGGAUAGAGUUAAGUUGAGCAGAAUGUGUUGGUGUGCAACUCUGAGAGAGAGAAAGAGAGACCUCUCCAGAAGGGUGUGACCCCAGUGCUAGAAGUAGAGUAAAUUUGCAAUUGUUGUGAUGGUUGUUGGUUCUCUCGAGUGUCUUGGGCGUUGGUUGCCAUUGCUGAAGCUUUACAAAAGGCGCAACAAAUAUACGAGAAAGUAAAGCCAUAGUCAAACAAUUACCAUCAGGAUCAACUUCAGCUAAGGAGAAAUCAAACGUCAACACAAUUAUUCUUCGUUUGCAAAUAUAUUCUCUAGAAGACGACAUAGUCUACAUCAAUCAUUUGCAUCCCAUAAAUUCUGAACUUUCAAAUUGAGCUGCUUUUUGUUAAAAUUCCAAACUUUUUACUUAUCGACCUCAUUUAACUAUUUAUUAUGAAGCUGGAAGAAACCGAAUUAUUCAUCUUGAAUUAGCUUUUAGCACUACCAUUUGUGGUCCCGUAUUAAACAAAUGAAGCGCAAAGACAGCUUUG